UUACCGCGAGGCCUAGAGGAAAGAGUGGCUGCCGUCUUCCUGCCCACAGCCCGCCGGACCCUCCGUCGCGGCUGCCCGGUCCCCGGAGCCGCAGCCGCCGAGCCCGGCUGUGCGUGUCGUGGCUGCUGGGGAGAAAGAGGCUUCCGGACAUGCUCUGGAGUCAGAAGACAGCGAAAAGAGAAGCAGAAGCCCCGGUGGCAAGAGUCUGAAGGGAGAAAAUAACCCAGUUUGGGAAGGACAUUUAAAAGGGGAAAAUAUUAGGAAGGAUGACUGUAGCCUGUGGAUUGUACUGCAGUAGGAAACUGUCCUAGCAAGGCUCCACUUUGCCCCAGCUUCAAGCUGGAAAGGAGGAGAACAUGAAACAUUGCUUGAAGACAAUGGCCGAGACAGCAGGUCCCACCCUGCACAGCCACCAGCAUCUCUCCCCUCAGCCCUGUCUCCUCUUCUGCAGUUGGGAUCUGCACAUUUAAGCCUGAAAUUGUCCUGUGAAGUGAAGUAUGAUCGGACAGCCUCUUUUCAGCUUUUAUGACAAUGGAGACAGAGGAAUUGUGGCUCUUGCCAAGGUCACA
rnacentral:lncRNA from 10 species